rnacentral:rRNA from 1 species
UACCUGGUUGAUCCUGCCAGUAGUCAUAUGCUUGUCUCAAAGAUUAAGCCAUGCAUGUCUCAGUAUAAGCUUUACUACUGCGAAACUGCGAAUGGCUCAUUAAAACAGUUAUAGUUUCCUUGACGGCCACUUAUUACUUGGAUACCUAUGGUAAUUCUAGAGCUAAUACAUGCUUACAGACCCAACUUUUCGGGAGGGUUGUGCUUAUUAGAUACCGAACCAGCCCCACUUCGUGGGAUCUCAGUUGAUUCAUAGUAGUCCAGCGAAUCGCCCAUCGUAGGCGAUGAGUCUUUCAAGUUUCUGACCUAUCAGCUUCCGACGGUAGGGUAUUGGCCUACCGUGGCUGUGACGGGUAACGGAGAAUUAGGGUUCGAUUCCGGAGAGGGAGCCUGAGAAACGGCUACCACAUCUAAGGAAGGCAGCAGGCGCGUAAAUUACCCAAUCCUGACGCAGGGAGGUAGUGACAAGAAAUACCAAUAUAAGGCAACUUGUCUUGUAAUUGGGAUGAGUAUAAUUUAAACCGCGUUGCGAGUAUCAAUUGGAGGGCAAGUCUGGUGCCAGCAGCCGCGGUAAUUCCAGCUCCAAUAGC